AGAGAGGAGAGAAUAGUGCGGAAGAGGGGAGGAGAGAAUAGAGAGAGGGAAGAGAUAGUGGAGAGGAGAAGAGGGGUGAGAGGUGAGGGCGAUAGGAGAGUAAGGGAGGAGAGAGAAGGAGUAGGACUCUGACAAGAGGAGGAGAGGAGGAGAAAUGAAGUGUAGAGGAGGUGAAAGUAGAGAGAGAUAGGAAGAAAUGACAAGAGGAGCGAGAGAGGAGACGGUGGAAAGGAGAAAUAGAGGAGGCGAGGAAGUUCAUUAAAGAGGAGAGGGAAGGAGAAGAGAACGGACAGGAGAGGAGGGGGAGGAGGCCAGGGGAGGGAAGGAGUGGGAGGAAAUGAAGGUUGGAGGAAAAGGAAAUGACUCUGUCUUAAAAUAGCAUGGCAGCCCUCCUCCAACAGCUCAGAGUUUAACGGGAAAAAAAGCAUAGCAUUGUUACGCAAGCGCUGCGAUGAUUAAUGAUGAUAUAAAAUACAUACAAAUAACUUUAAACAAUCUUAUUUUAAUUUGGGAUAUUCUUAUAUCAUAAUACAUUUGACGAGGACGUUUAGUUAGAUUAGCACUGCUGUGAUCUCUGCAACUCUAAUACCUGUAGGCUAUAUUAUCACAACUAAACAAAAAUGACCCGCUGCUAAUAUUUAUCCUUCUACUAUUACCACUAUUCUAUCUUAUUCCUUUGCUAUUAUUCGUUUUUUGAGAUUUAGUUUGAGCACUGUUAGUUCAGUGUACAUAAGAGACACAGCGCAAGAAAGAGUAAAUACUUGUUCUAUCAACACCCCUCACUGUGGGGACUCUUUUUUUUUCUCUAACAUAAAGCAGGACAGUCUAAUUUACUGUAGGCUACAAUAAGAACCAAACCAUGAGAGAGAACAGCCGGGGGACGCUCAGCUAAAUGAUAACAGUGGACGGACGAAGGGUAGUAGAAGAUAAACUAUGGUUAUGGCGGGCUAGUUUGGCAAACAAAACAAACAACAGACACGGAAAAUAACUUCUAUUGAUGAACAACUACCGGUGACCAGGAGGGGAGGAGGAGGAGGAGGGGAGACAGAGAAAACAUCUUCCGGAAAAUGUCUGUUUUGCAGAACCACCACCGACGCUGACUGCCUGGUUGGCAGUAGAUCUCGUCGGGCCGGUGUUACUCUAGCCUAGUUGGUUCCUCUGUGUUCGGCGCUCUCCACGCGUCGCUCUGCAGUAGCAGCGCUGCAGAGGGGCCGGACAUGACUAAUGUGCCUGGGGUCUUUGCCAGCUCAGGGAGGAGGUGAGCCCUACUCACACUGGAGAAAAAAAAAAGCCAAACGCUUUCGUUUUAACACCUUUUAUUAUUUUAUUGGUACACUGUGUGAGCUAUAACAGA